GAACAGUGCCCAUCUCCGAGGAAGGACAGCACCCGACUGAGGCAGGAGGAGCUCCAGGCAGCAGCCUGUGAGACAGGCGUGGACUUCGUGUACAAGGUCAGGCUGAAUCUGUGAAGUCCUCCACCUCCAGUCCCUACAUCUAUUACAACAUGAAACUCGAGGACAUCAUCAAGGGGGGCACAGACUCUGCUGUGUCCCUCACCAUGAAGAAAUUCAUCUCUCACACCACCUGCCAUGACUCCCUGGGGCUACAAGGACAGGAGACAUACCUCAUCAUGGGCCAAAUUUCAGACAUGUGGAAAGUCAAAUCUGAUUACAUCUAUGUCCUGGGCAGGAAGACAUUCUUCAUGCAGUGGCCGGCCGAUGGGGAUGUGGGCAAGAAGGAAUUGCUGGACCACCUGACGGGAUUUUCAGACUAUAUGAGCACUCAUGGCUGUGAGUCCUGAGACUCUGAGGUCUCUACUGCCCUCAGGAGGUUGUUUCCAAGCAGGCACAGGCCACUGGCCUUAACUCCAAAUAAAGAGCAUGGAGUAUCAUACCCAAAGUCCAUACAUUUGUCCCUGCUCCAACAUUCAUCAAGGACCCUGCACAACCAGCCCCAACACUGCAGGGACCUGCCUCCUCCCUCUCCCUCCUACACCAUUUCAAUUACACCGGCCUUCUCUGUGUCCUUCCAACACCCAAGUUGAUUCCUACCUCAGGGCCUUUGCACUCACUGUUCCCUCUACCAAGUACACCCUUCUUCCAGAUAUCUGAAUGUAUUGAACACUUCCCUUAUUUGGACUUUCUUCUUUCUCAUGCCUGAAUAAUAGUCCAGAGUUUAAAUGUUUAA